rnacentral:rRNA from 1 species
AUUGAACUCUGGCGGCAGGCUUCACACAUGCAAGUCGAGCGAGCGGCGGCCGGGUGAGUCAUGUCUGGGAAACUGCCUGAUGGAGGGGGAUAACUACUGGAAACGGUAGCUAAUACCGCAUACCAUCAGAUGUGCCCAGAUGGGAUUAGCUCGUAGGUGGUGUAAUGGCGCACCUAGGCGAAGAUCCCUAGCUGGUCUGAGAGGAUGACCAGCCACACGGGAACUGAGACACGGUCCAGAGUCCUACGGGAGGCAGCAGUGGGGAAUAUUGCACAAUGGGCGCAAGCCUGAUGCAGCCAUGCCGCGUGCGUGAAGAAGACCUUCGGGUUGUAAAGCACUUUCAGCGAGGAGGCGUUACUCGCAGAAGAAGCACCGGCUAACUCCGUGCCAGCAGCCGCGGUAAUUC